rnacentral:tRNA from 1 species
GCCUGGGUGACUCAGUCGGUUGAGCGUCCGACUUCAGCUCAGGUCAUGAUUUCAUGGUACGUGGGUUCGAGCCCCACGUCAGGCU